GAUGAACGCUGGCGGCGUGCUUAACACAUGCAAGUCGAACGAGAAGUGGAGACGGAAACCUUCGGGCGGAAGACUUUAUUUCGAGUGGCGGACGGGUGAGUAACGCGUGGGUAACCUGCCUCAUACAGGGGGAUAACAGUUGGAAACGACUGUUAAUACCGCAUAAGACCACAGCACCGCAUGGUGCGGGGGUAAAAACUCCGGUGGUAUGAGAUGGACCCGCGUUCGAUUAGCCAGUUGGCGGGGUAACGGCCCACCAAAGCGACGAUCGAUAGCCGAUCUGAGAGGAUGACCGGCCACAUUGGGACCGAGACACGGCCCAAACUCCUACGGGAGGCAGCAGUGGGGAAUAUUGCACAAUGGGGGAAACCCUGAUGCAGCGACGCCGCGUGAGUGAAGAAGUAUUUCGGUAUGUAAAGCUCUAUCAGCAGGGAAGAAAAUGACGGUACCUGAGUAAGAAGCCCCGGCUAACUACGUG
rnacentral:rRNA from 1 species